rfam:Salmo salar isolate Sally breed double haploid chromosome ssa20, whole genome shotgun sequence.
UGCACGAAUGACUGUAAGUCGCUUCGGGUAAAAGCAUCUGUUAAAUGGCAUAUA